UACGUAGGGUGCGAGCGUUGUCCGGAAUUAUUGGGCGUAAAGGGCUCGUAGGCGGUUUGUCGCGUCGGGAGUGAAAACGCCGCGCUUAACACGGCGCUUGCUUUCGAUACGGGCAGACUAGAGGUAUGCAGGGGAGAACGGAAUUCCUGGUGUAGCGGUGAAAUGCGCAGAUAUCAGGAGGAACACCGGUGGCGAAGGCGGUUCUCUGGGCAUUACCUGACGCUGAGGAGCGAAAGUGUGGGGAGCGAACAGG
rnacentral:rRNA from 1 species